UACGGAGGAUGCAAGCGUUAUCCGGAUUUAUUGGGUUUAAAGGGUGCGUAGGCGGAUAUGUAAGUCAGCGAUGAAACUCACAGGCUCAACCUGUGCCGUGCCGUUGAAACUGUGUAUCUGGAAUGCGGAUGCUGUGGGAGGAAUGUGUAGUGUAGCGGUGAAAUGCAUAGAUAUUACACAGAACACCGAUUGCGAAGGCAUCUCACAAAGCCGUUAUUGACGCUGAGGCACGAAAGUGUGGGGAU
rnacentral:rRNA from 1 species